UACAGAGACCUCAAGCGUUAUCCGGAAUCAUUGGGCGUAAAGCGUGCCGAUAGGUGGUUUUGAUAGUUUUGGGUAAAAGCCAGAAGCUCAACUUCUGCGUUUGCUCAAAAUACUUCAAGACUAGAGGGGCAAAGAGGUGCUUGGAACGAAUGGUGUAGUAGUGAAAUGCGUUGAUAUCAUUCGGAACACCGAAAGCGAAGGCAGAGCACUGGGUGCCACCUGACACUGCUAGGACGAGAGCGUGGGUAGCGAAUGGG
rnacentral:rRNA from 1 species